GGGGUUGUGGCUCAGUGGUAGAGCACUUGCCUAGCAUGUACAAGGCCCUGGGUUCGAUCCUCAGCAUCACAU
rnacentral:tRNA from 1 species